AUCCCCGUAGCUCAAUGGAUAGAGCAAGGGUUUCCUAAACCCUCGAUGCAGGUCCGAUUCCUACCGGGGAUA
rnacentral:tRNA from 1 species